CCCUCCCAACCCACAUGUAGCCUGCCACACACGCAUGCCAAAGGGUUUUGAAGUCAUAAACGCCAAGGCAUAUCCUAUGCCCUAGCGAGGAAGGACCUCGCUAUCAAAACGCCAAGGGGGCCAGACUUGCAUUACUUGUCAUGUUUCUCGACACACUUCUAUUUGACUGGCCUUGUGUGCGUUGGGUUUUGUGGGGAAGUCGCAACGCGGUGCCUUUGCCCACAAAGUGUUGUGCACGGACGACACUUCUAUUGCAUAUACACUCAAUGUGUUGCGUUGGUAGCCUCUUCAGAGGAUGAGCUCAAAACUCAAACGUCCACCUACGUUCUUGCAGUUUUGCACUCUUUGGUCGAAAAAUCAAAAUAAGUCGAGGCGCGGUCGGAAUGCCACGAAAGCUUACAGUCCCCCUCUUAAGAGUUGUGAUAGAAUUCUCUGCAACAUAUUAGCUCAAAAUCUGAUUUCGAGCUCGAGGUCACCGUUGCUUCCGUUUCUCGAGCUUUUGGCACGCGAGAAAUUAACAUUUAGUCCGUCCAUCGUCGAAAAACACCAAAAUUUCGUGGCGGGGGUGCUUAUGAUGUUCUAAACAAGCCUGGAAUUUGGGGCACGAAAACUGACCCGUGGGUUGACGGGCACUCGGGACAAAACUGUGGGUUUUCAAGUAUUUGUCGAAAAAUCAAAACAAGUCGUAGUCGCAAUGCUGCCAAAAUUUUCAUAUCCCCUCCAUGUGUUUUUUGUAGAGGUGUCCGCCAAAAUUCGAUUCCUAGGUCGAGAUUUUGGCGCGCGGAGAAGUCAUAUUUAAUCCGUG
rnacentral:misc_RNA from 1 species